AGAAUCAACGCUGGCGGCGUGCCUAACACAUGCAAGUCGAACGAGAAAGGGUAGCAAUACCUGAGUAAAGUGGCGCACGGGUGAGUAACACGUGACUAACCUACCCUGGAGUGGGGGAUAACUGAGGGAAACCUUAGCUAAUACCGCAUAAUACCUACGGGUCAAAGGAGCAAUUCGCUUCAGGAGGGGGUCGCGGCCGAUUAGUUAGUUGGCGGGGUAAUGGCCCACCAAGACGAUGAUCGGUAUCCGGCCUGAGAGGGCGCACGGACACACUGGAACUGAAACACGGUCCAGACUCCUACGGGAGGCAGCAGUGGGGAAUUUUGCGCAAUGGGGGAAACCCUGACGCAGCAACGCCGCGUGGAGGAUGAAGUCCUUCGGGACGUAACUCCUUUCGAUCGGGACGAUUAUGACGGUACCGGAAGAAGAAGCCCCGGCUAACUUCGUGCCAGCAGCCGC
rnacentral:rRNA from 1 species